GAGUUUGAUCGUGGCUCAGAACGAACGCUGGCGGCAGGCUUAACACAUGCAAGUCGAACGCCCCGCAAGGGGAGUGGCAGACGGGUGAGUAACGCGUGGGAACGUGCCCUUCGCUUCGGAAUAGUCCCGGGAAACUGGGUUUAAUACCGGAUACGCCGUAUUGGGAAAGAUUUAUCGGCGAAGGAUCGGCCCGCGUUAGAUUAGCUAGUUGGCGGUGUAAUGGACCACCAAGGCGACGAUCUAUAGCUGGUCUGAGAGGAUGAUCAGCCACACUGGGACUGAGACACGGCCCAGACUCCUACGGGAGGCAGCAGUGGGGAAUCUUGGACAAUGGGGGAAACCCUGAUCCAGCAAUGCCGCGUGAGUGAAGAAGGCCUUC
rnacentral:rRNA from 1 species